GAUGAACGCUAGCUACAGGCUUAACACAUGCAAGUCGAGGGGCAGCAUGGUCUUAGCUCGCUAAGGCCGAUGGCGACCGGCGCACGGGUGAGUAACGCGUAUCCAACCUGCCUUACACUCUUGGACAGCCUUCUGAAAGGGAGAUUAAUACAAGAUGUUAUCAUGAGUAAGCAUUUUCGCAUGAUUAAAGGUUUACCGGUGUAAGAUGGGGAUGCGUUCCAUUAGAUAGUAGGCGGGGUAACGGCCCACCUAGUCUUCGAUGGAUAGGGGUUCUGAGAGGAAGGUCCCCCACAUUGGAACUGAGACACGGUCCAAACUCCUACGGGAGGCAGCAGUGAGGAAUAUUGGUCAAUGGACGAGAGUCUGAACCAGCCAAGUAGCGUGAAGGAUGAAGGUUCUAUGGAUUGUAAACUUCUUUUAUACGGGAAUAAACGGAUCCACGUGUGGAUUUUUGCAUGUACCGUAUGAAUAAGGAUCGGCUAACUCCGUGCCAGCAGCCGCGGUAAUACGGAGGAUCCGAGCGUUAUCCGGAUUUAUUGGGUUUAAAGGGAGCGUAGAUGGGUUGUUAAGUCAGUUGUGAAAGUUUGCGGCUCAACCGUAAAAUUGCAAUUGAUACUGGCAGUCUUGAGUACAGUUGAGGUAGGCGGAAUUCGUGGUGUAGCGGUGAAAUGCUUAGAUAUCACGAAGAACUCCGAUUGCGAAGGCAGCUUACUAACCUGUAACUGACAUUGAUGCUCGAAAGUGUGGGUAUCAAACAGGAUUAGAUACCCUGGUAGUCCACACGGUAAACGAUGAAUACUCGCUGUAGGCGAUAUACAGUCUGCGGCCAAGCGAAAGCAUUAAGUAUUCCACCUGGGGAGUACGCCGGCAACGGUGAAACUCAAAGGAAUUGACGGGGGCCCGCACAAGCGGAGGAACAUGUGGUUUAAUUCGAUGAUACGCGAGGAGCCUUACCCGGGCUUAAAUUGCAACCGAAUAUGGCGGAAACGCUAUAGCUAGCAAUAGCGGUUGUGAAGGUGCUGCAUGGUUGUCGUCAGCUCGUGCCGUGAGGUGUCGGCUUAAGUGCCAUAACGAGCGCAACCCUUGCCGAUAGUUACUAACAGGUUAUGCUGAGGACUCUGUCGGGACUGCCAUCGUAAGAUGUGAGGAAGGUGGGGAUGACGUCAAAUCAGCACGGCCCUUACGUCCGGGGCUACACACGUGUUACAAUGGGGGGUACAGAGGGCUGCUACCACGCAAGUGGAUGCCAAUCCCAAAAACCUCUCUCAGUUCGGAUUGAAGUCUGCAACCCGACUUCAUGAAGCUGGAUUCGCUAGUAAUCGCGCAUCAGCCACGGCGCGGUGAAUACGUUCCCGGGCCU
rnacentral:rRNA from 1 species